AAAAACACAGUCAAACAGGCAAAGGAAAUGAACAAAACCUUCCAAUAUCUAAAAAAUGGAAAUAGAAACAAUAAAGAAAUCACAAAGGGAGACCACCCUGGAGUUAGAAAUCCUAGGAAAGAUAGCAGGAGUCAUAGAUGCAAGCAUCACCAAGAGAAUACAAGAGAUAGAAGAGGGAAUCUCAGGUGCAGAAGAUACCAUAGAAAACAUUGACACAACAGUCAAAGAAAAUACAAAAAGCAAAAAGCUCAUAACAUAAAAUAUCCAGGAAGUCCAGGACACAAUGAGAAGACCAAACCUAAGAAUAAUAGUUACUGAAGAGAGGGAAGAUUCACAACUUAAAGGGCCAGGUGGUGAGCCCAGAAAGUCUGCCUAACACAACGAUGUUGAUGACAUCUACCCCACAUAUCAAGGACCCGUGUGCCUCUGAAGCCUGGAAUGCCAGCUCAUCCAUCUCUAUCGGGCCAGUGACAGUGAACUCUAAGGAGACCAUCAGCCUCUGGAGGCAGACCCCAAUCCCAGUUUCUUCUACCCCCUUGGGAACUACUGAAUUGUCUUCUUUUGGGACUUCUGCUGGUACAAGCAUGAGCACCCCUGUACCUGAGCCUAUAACCUCUCAGGAAGUUUUCAGCAAGACAUCAUCACUGCUUCCAGAAGCAUCAAAUGUAGCCAGUGACCUUCCCCUGUCACCGCAGCCAAUCCUGUGGCAGACAGAACUGUGGCAUCUAUAUUUACCUUUAAAGGGACCAGUGCACUCCCCGCCACUGUGACAACAAGCUCUGACGAGACAAGUGGACCCUCUGUGACUGCAACAGUAAGCUCCAAGACCAGUGGUCCCCCUGUCACCAUGGCUACUGGGUCUCUGGGGCCCUCCAAUGAGGCGCAUGAACUCCCUGCCACCAUAGCAGCCAAUUCUGUGUAGAGUUCCAAUGUGGCCCGUGACACUCCAGUCUCCAGCAUAAAAAUAUUCACAACAUCUAAGAUCCCAUAACCACCAGGUUGCCGCGCUAAGGAUCCAGUGGCAUGUUGCUGGUGCCCAUGCUUAUUACCUUGUUGGUGGUUUUGGUUCUCCUGGCGCUACUACUGUUGUGGUACAAGAGGCGGAGGACUGGGACUCUGACCCUGAGAAGAGGUGGAAAACGGAAUGGGAGGGUGAGUGCCUGGGCUGGGCCAACCCCGUUUCCUGAUGAUCGGGCCCCAACUGUAUCAGAGUUAUGGGGCCACAUGGACUCUGAGGUACCGAAGUCAGAAAGCUACAGGCAGCGGCCCUCGUUCACUACUUUCUUGGACAGACAGAAGUCUCAUCAGAGCUCUGUAGUACUAAAAGAGGUGAAGCCUGUGUCGGGUCCCAACCUGAAGGGGGAGGAAGAGCCACUUAUGGCCAGUAAGGCUGAAGCUGUGGAAAACCCAACUUCUGACCAGCCCACAAGGCAAAGAUGAGGCUGCGCCUCAAUCUCAAGGAGCAACAGAUGAUCACCCAGAUCUUCUCCUUCAACCUUCCUCCCCUUCAUCUUGUUAACCUGGACCCCAACUGCAGCAGUCAUUCCUUGGUGAAUCCUCCAGUCAAGCCUGCCAGAGAAACACACAGGUCACGUAAGCAGUGGCCUCCCUCCCUCAGCCGAAGCACCUGCACGGAAACAGAGCCAUAAUCCCUUCCCUACUGAACUUCCCAAUCAAGGUCAAAUAGAUUCUCUUUCCUUAUCCAUUUUCAGUUGUGUUUUCUUGAAAUCCUUCUGUGGUGUGUGCAUGUGUGUGCAUGAAGGUGUACAUGCU
rnacentral:lncRNA from 1 species